GCAUAUAAGAAGGGAAAGGAGGGCGUCGAAGGCAGCCGAGAGGCGACACUCGACAGAGGACGGAAGCGGCGAGACAUGCAGCCCGCUUCGCUCCUCCACAUCCUCCUCCUGAUCUCUCACCUUGCUUCGGCGGUCCCGGUCGAUCUCCACUCCCACGGGUGCUUCUGGACUGAAUCAUGUCAAAGCAAAUGGGUGGGUGGAUGCAGUGCAGGGCUUGUGGUUGUUGAUCGGUCAGAUAAUUGCAAUGGUCUCUGUGGAGAAUCGAAAUUUCCACCAUGCCUUCCCUUUCAUACACAUUUUCAUUGUUGUAAACCAGAGAGCCCAAGGUUAACCAACAAGUGCACAAUAUGCAAGAACAAGUUAGACUUUGGUGACGAGUACAUAUGUUGCACUGACUGCUCAGAUCCUUACCUCAUAGAAAAGAAUAGAAAAUUGGGCUACUGUAAGACUGGUGCAGUGCUGGCAGUGCAACUAAAGCCACAAGAAGUUUUCAAGUGGGUUGCUGGGCCAUGGAUGAAGUGUUCUUCUCCCUGUGAUGGUGGAGUUCGUUAUAGAGAUGUUGGUUGCUACGGAAGCACUGAUGAUCCAUCCAUCAAGCACUACCCUGUGGAUGACAGUAGGUGUUCAGAUCAAGAAAUGCCCCUUAGGCAGGAGCCUUGUAAUCUGCAAAGCUGUGGAGAUUUGAGCAUCAGUGAAUCAAGUGACAAGCCAAGCGGGAUGUCUGGGUGGUUGGUUGCUUUGCUUGUUAUUCUUGGGCUCGUGGCUGUCGGUGGGGUUGGUUUUGCAGGCUACAUUUGUUACAAGAGGAGAACCUCGGCACCAAGUGGCUUUGUGUAUAUUAUGCUGGAAGGGUAUUCUUGAGAUAUCGCUUUCUUCGGAGUCAUCCUUGAGCUGAUAAUUCAUUUGUGUAUAUUAUGCGAAAGGUUUGCGUGUGGAAACUGUGGUGUCAAACCGGAGCAGCCACAUUUGGCGUACAUAUCCACGAGUGCAUUCUGCAGACAAGUAUCCUUCCUUACCUCAUUUUCCUCGAUAUAAGCAUGAAUGCGUCUGCCCCAGUCCAGAGCUCCAAGCUGCGAACAAGCAGACAACAGACUGAC